rnacentral:rRNA from 1 species
UACGUAGGGUGCGAGCGUUGCCCGGAUUUAUUGGGCGUAAAGGGCGCGCAGGCGGUACGGCACGUCCGUUGUGAAAUCGCUCGGCUCAACUGGGGCGGGGUCAGCGGAUACGGCCGCACUCGAGCAAGCUAGGGGGCAAUGGAAUUCCCGGUGUAGUGGUGGAAUGCGUAGAUAUCGGGAGGAACACCAGUGGCGAAGGCGGUUGCCUGGAGCUUUGCUGACGCUGAGGCGCGAAAGCGUGGGGAGCGAACAGG